rnacentral:rRNA from 1 species
CAGCCGUAAACAAUGUGCGUUAGGUGUGUCGGUAACCACGUGUUACUGAUGCGCCGAAGAGAAAUCGUGAAACGCACCACCUGGGAAGUACGGUCGCAAGGCUGAAACUUAAAGGAAUUGGCGGGGGAGCACAACAACGGGUGGAGCCUGCGGUUUAAUUGGACUCAACGCCGGACAACUCACCGGGAACGACAGCAAUAUGUAGGCCAGGCUGAAGACCUUGCCUGAAUCGCUGAGAGGAGGUGCAUGGCGUAGACGUCU